rnacentral:lncRNA from 1 species
AUGUACUUUACAAAUGGAAUUACCCUUUCUCCACAACGGAAAACUAAUGAGAGUCGUAUUGGCAAAGGCUUAUUUGCACAAGUGGUACCUCACGUAUCCAGUCUGUGUGGAAACAGGACCUAAUGUUUGGUUAUUGAUGGCUACAUCCUCAUUUCUACCUUUGGCUGUGGAAUAUGUCCUUUCCAUCAUCUAUAGUGGGUCUUUAAGGUCCUCCGCUUUUACAUUGGAGCUUUCCUUCUUUAUAACUUGGCUAUAUCACCAUUGUGCACCUCUUGUACAUCUGCUCUGACACGACCCGUCCCGAUCACCCUAAUGGAUUCGACACGUGUCGUGCAUCGAUGGUAGAUACCAGCUAAAUGCCGGACCCACCACCAAGGCAAACUUGACAUGCUUUGACUGUAAUAAUUUUAUAAAAAUUUUGGCAGAGUUUCCUCUGAAAAAUGGACUAAAACCACCUGAGAAUAAAACCAAAAAUCCCAAACAUAUACACAUACUUUAAAAUAGGGUACACUAGCCCAUCAAAAUACUAAUUCUUCGAGGAGUUGUAUUGAAAAAGAAAUUUACCAUUUCAAAACAUACACAAAAUAUGCAAUGGGUAUAAGACUUAAUACAU